GAUCGUGGCUCAGGACGAACGCUGGCGGCGUUGCCUAAUACAUGCAAGCUCGAACGAACGGAGAAAGAAGCUUGCUUUUUUCAAAGUUAGUGGCGAACGGGUGAGUAACACGUGGGUAACCUGCCCAUCAGAGGGGGAUAACAUUCGGAAACGGAUGCUAAAACCGCAUAGGUUCCUUAGUUGCAUGACUGAGGAAGGAAAAGAGGCGUAAGCUUCUGCUGGUGGAUGGACCCGCGGUGCAUUAGCUAGUUGGUGAGGUAACGGCUCACCAAGGCGAUGAUGCAUAGCCGACCUGAGAGGGUGAUCGGCCACAUUGGGACUGAGCACACGGCCCACAACUGCCAAUAGCUGGGAGGCAGCUACGUAGGGAAUCUUCCGCAAUGGACGCAAGUCUGACGGAGCAACGCCGCGUGAGUGAAGAAGGUUUUCGGAUCGUAAAACUCUGUUGUUAGAGAAGAAUAAGCAUAAUAGUAACUGAUUAUGCCGUGACGGUAUCUAACCAGAAAGCCACGGCUAACUACGUGCCAGCAGCCGCGGUAAUACGUAGGUGGCAAGCGUUGUCCGGAUUUAUUGGGCCGAUAAAGCGAGCGCAGGCGGUAUCCUUAAGUCUGAUGUGAACAG
rnacentral:rRNA from 1 species